AAUAUUGGACAAUGGGGGGAACCCUGAUCCAGCCAUGCCGCGUGUGUGAAGAAGGUCUUCGGAUUGUAAAGCACUUUAAGUUUGGAGGAAGAGUUGUAGGCUAAUACCUUGCAAUUUGAACGUUACCAACAGAAUAAUCACCGGCUAACUUCGUGCCAGCAGCCGCGGUAAUACGAAGGGUGCAAGCGUUAAUCGGAAUUACUGGGCGUAAAGGGCGCGUAGGUGGUUCGUUAAGUUGGAAGUGAAAGCCCCGGGCUUAACCGGGGAACUGCUUUCAUAACUGCUGAGCUAGAGUAUGGCAGAGGGUGGUGGAAUUUCCUGUGUAGCGGUGAAAUGCGUAGAUAUAGGAAGGAACACCAGUGGCGAAGGCGACCACCUGGGCUAAUACUGACACUGAGGUGCGAAAGCGUGGGGAGCAAACAGG
rnacentral:rRNA from 1 species